ensembl:lncRNA
GUUCGUUAAAAUACAAGGCAUGCAAAUGACAAAAAUGAUGCAAAAUUUGCUCAUAAAAUUAAAAAUAACCGACUUCCUGUUGGGAUUCGAAUUUUGUACCAAGAGACUUUUUUGUAGGUAUUGGUGUGUUACAUGUGUGUACCAAUUUUUGUACAUGUACGUGAAACGUAGCUCGAGGCACACUCCGUUAAACAUGUAUAGGUGGCGCUAUCGAGGCAUUUUGCCACACCCGAUGGAAUAUUGGCCUUCAGAUGUGUUCAGGCCAGGACUCUUAUCAAACAUGUGAAGUUUGGGCAAGAUCGGAUGUUUUAUGCCUGAGUUAGAAUAACAUUUAUUCCCAUGGCGAGACAUCGAACUUUGUCACGGCGCCAUGGACACG